GUAGUGCGGACAACAGACAGCUGACAGAGACAACCACGAACGAACCCAAACGUUGAGUUGAUCGAUUGCGCAUGAGAUGCUACUGGCGCACUGACUCAUAAUUGAGGUGAAUGUAUUGUUGCAUUGUUCUUCUAUAUUAUUGAUAUUCGUAAUGCUUCUUUCAGAGAUUUCAGCAAUGCGUAAAGUGACUUCCUGGUUUAAGCUAAUUUUAGCAGCAGACGGUACAUCAAUGUGGAGCUCUUCUACACUGUCAGGUUGUAGAUCUUCUUCUUUUUGUGACAAGUUAGCAAUAUCCUCAGUACAUUUUUGGACGCUUCAUAACAUGAACACUUGAAUGCAAGCUUUACAGAGCUGACAAUAGAGACUUCGACAGCUACAAAUCUCAUCGACUAAAUCCACUUCAUAAUAAUCAACUUUGGACUGUGAGUGGACAAGAAAUUUGUUUGUUUUGUAUUGCAACUGCUUCAAAAUUCAUCUCCAUUGCACGUUUAUGGAAUUUAUUCACAAAAAGAUCUCGAUGAGUAGCAGUGGGUCGUAAAAUUGAGGCAAAUCUUUUCCAAGACUUAUCUAUAAUAAGCUUGUCUAAUGCAUCCAGGCAAGUUUCUAACCGUUUAACUGUUUUCCCAGAAAAAUAAUUAUAUUUCAAAUUUUUAUGGAGAGCUUCUAGAUGCAUAUUAGUGUUGAUGCCUGCAUUUUUUCUAUAACAAUGUGCCCAGGUCGCUAUACGCUCUUCAUUUUGCAAAUAAUAUGUAUUUAAAUAUUGUAAAAAUGAAUAUUCAUUGUUAAGUUGUAGAAACUGUAUUAAAUUAUAUUUUAGGCGCAAAAAUUCAAUCUCAUCAGUUUCUUUUAUUAAACCAUUGAGGUCUUGUUGACUUUUGUCUCUUUUUUGAGGGUCCGAAAUUUUGGAUUUACACUGUAUUGCCCAAUUUUUUUUAAUGUGCCAGGUGCACAGAAGCCGAUGUGGCACAGUGCCCAUAACAUUACACCAUGCAUUGAAAUAUAUGGGAGUGUCAUAAGUGUCCUUCCUAUUUGAAAUUAAAAAGGCAACAGGGUGUCCCAUAUGUUGGUCAUCUAAUACAAGAAUUGUCGUCAACUCAAAAUUGUAUGGGUUGGUCCCAUGUGUUCCAUUGUUCAAAUGAUUCGUGGCCCAUAAGUAAAUGUCAUGGCUAUCCCCAAUUUUUUUAAACAAGAAAACAUUAUUUUCUUUUUGGUUCCACUCUGCUACUUUCAUUUCAACGGCUAUUAAAUCUGAUUUGUUUCUUUUCCCACAAAGAUUGUUUUUCUCUGCCAAAUAAUAAAUAUCUUUCAAUGUUAACAAGUUCAAUCGGCUGCAGUCAUCACUUUCUAGACUUGUCGCUUUUUUUAAUAUUGUUUCAUAAGAAACCCCUAAACGAAUUUGUUCAAUAAUGUCACUUCUUUCA